AGAGAUGAUAGAAGUAAUAUAUUACGCUCAGUUUCGACCUGAGAAGAGGAUAAAGCCCUAUCUU
rnacentral:tRNA from 1 species